AGAGUUUGAUCCUGGCUCAGGAUGAACGCUGGCGGCGUGCCUAACACAUGCAAGUCGAGCGAUUCUCCUCGGAGAAGAGCGGCGGACGGGUGAGUAACGCGUGGGUAACCUGCCCUGUACACACGGAUAACAUACCGAAAGGUAUGCUAAUACGAGAUAAUAUGCUUUUAUCGCAUGGUAGAAGUAUCAAAGCUCCGGCGGUACAGGAUGGACCCGCGUCUGAUUAGCUAGUUGGUAAGGUAACGGCUUACCAAGGCGACGAUCAGUAGCCGACCUGAGAGGGUGAUCGGCCACAUUGGAACUGAGACACGGUCCAAACUCCUACGGGAGGCAGCAGUGGGGAAUAUUGCACAAUGGGCGAAAGCCUGAUGCAGCAACGCCGCGUGAGCGAUGAAGGCCUUCGGGUCGUAAAGCUCUGUCCUCAAGGAAGAUAAUGACGGUACUUGAGGAGGAAGCCCCGGCUAACUACGUGCCAGCAGCCGCGGUAAUACGUAGGGGGCUAGCGUUAUCCGGAAUUACUGGGCGUAAAGGGUGCGUAGGUGGUUUCUUAAGUCAGAGGUGAAAGGCUACGGCUCAACCGUAGUAAGCCUUUGAAACUGGGAAACUUGAGUGCAGGAGAGGAGAGUGGAAUUCCUAGUGUAGCGGUGAAAUGCGUAGAUAUUAGGAGGAACACCAGUUGCGAAGGCGGCUCUCUGGACUGUAACUGACGCUGAGGUUCGAAGGCGUGGGUAGCAAACAGGAUUAGAUACCCUGGUAGUCCACGCCGUAAACGAUGAGUGCUAAGUGUUGGAGGGUUUCCGCCCUUCAGUGCUGCAGCUAACGCAUUAAGCACUCCGCCUGGGAGUACGGUCGCAAGACUGAAGCUCAAAGGAAUUGACGGGGGCCCGCACAAGCGGUGGAGCAUGUAGUUUAAUUCGAAGCAACGCGAAGAACCUUACCAGGUCUUGACAUCUUCUGACAAUUCCAGAGAUGGAACGUUCCCUUCGGGGACAGAAUGACAGGUGGUGCAUGGUUGUCGUCGGCUCGUGUCGUGAGAUGUUGGGUUAAGUCCCGCAACGAGCGCAACCCUUAUUGUCAGUUGCCAUCAUUAAGUUGGGCACUCUGGCGAGACUGCCGGUGACAAACCGGAGGAAGGUGGGGAUGACGUCAAAUCAUCAUGCCCCUUACGACCUGGGCUACACACGUGCUACAAUGGACGGUACAACGAGUCGCUAACUCGCGAGGGCAAGCUAAUCUCUUAAAGCCGUUCUCAGUUCGGAUUGCAGGCUGCAACUCGCCUGCAUGAAGUCGGAAUCGCUAGUAAUCGCGAAUCAGCAUGCCGCGGUGAAUACGUUCCCGGGCCUUGUACACACCGCCCGUCACACCAUGAGAGUUUGUAACACCCAAAGUCGGUGGGGUAACCUUUUGGAGCCAGCCGCCUAAGGUGGGACAGAUGAUUGGGGUGAAGUCGUAACAAGGUA
rnacentral:rRNA from 1 species